UUUUUAUUACACAAGUGCUCGUCGUUUCGUACGCGUUUUAAAAACAAGAUUGUAUUUCUUGUCACGAAUAGUAUUACUACUGCAUACGUCGAUUGUCCAGUUAUUGCGACGAUAGUGAAAGUUCGAAUUCGGGCUUUUUCUUAACACAUUUUACCUACUAAAAAUUUUAACGGAGGAUAAGAAAUGGAUUGUGCGAAUUGGAAGAAAUGUUGACGUUGUUGAUCCGUCAAAAUGAAGUGUACGAUACGCUAUUUUAAUUUAAGAAAAGAUAAAGAAAGAUAAAACAUGUUUCUUUGUUCCAUAAAAAUAUAUUUGACAAAGUCACUGACAGACAAGGAGAUAACAAUAAAGAAAAGUUUCCUCCAGAUGAAAAUAUUAGGAUAUACUAAAAAAGGUAUAUGACAACGAAUGCACACCGGACACACCUCCUUCCAUAUAUGGCCAAAUGGGAAAGUAGAUCGAUCGAUCGAUCGAUCGAUUUAAGAACUGGUGAGAAG